GCUUGUGCCUGCAUGUCAUCAUGCGUUACUUCACUUUCAGUACUAACAUUUGGCAUAUCCUCCGAUGUAUUUAAGGAGACGUCAACUCUGGACCUAUUGAAAAAAUUAAGGUGUCUUAAGAAAACACGAAAUGGCAUCAUCAGCGUCCUGAUCAGUUACGAUGAAAAAAGACGCGAGGUGGCGCUAUCAGUCCGUGAACUGUGCGGUUGGUUCAGAAGGAAAAAAUGUGAAAUGGCGCCGAUACUUGAGAGGCGUUUCGCUGGAGUUAGAAAAUCCGUACGCAGAAAGCUACGAUCACAGACUGAAUGGAAUUUUCACCAACUAUGAGUUUCCAUAGAACUGUAGAUUCUUCCCAGACGAGACAACCACUCAAUAGCUACUCAAGAUCUGACAAGAACACCGACAGUGAUUAGUGGCGUUCCCUACGACUAUGUUACAACUUCGCGGAAGAUAUCAAUGUCUAUGGAACACCGGAGAAUCCGGCAGGUUAGGCUGAAUGCCUGAGCGCAUACAAUUAAUUUACAAUUAAUUUAAUACUGUAUUUUUGCGCUUAAUGAAGUUCAACAAUAAAAAUUGGGAUUCUCGCUAUAAAAAUCUUCGACUGAGAUUGCGAGCAUGAAAAAACAAACGAAAUAGUAUAUGUCAAAUAAUACUUGUAUGAGUAGAAAACGUAUCACAGAGCAUUCAUAAACACAUUUUAGGAACUAAUUUUAUUCGUUUAAUACAUUGAAUUUCUUAAAAGAACUCUUGUUUUAUAUGAAAGUUGAUAUGUUGCGUGCGCACGUAUUUUGAUUUAAAUACAAAGAAACAA